UCCAGUGCUGCUGGUUUGCAAAGAGUAACAAAGAUAAAACAGGUGGCCAGGAGAAGGAAGAUGCAGAUGAGUACAAUGAUGAUAGGCAGAGGGUCUGACUUUUCCACUGGGGGCCCAGAGCUUAGUGGGACCGAGUUAGUUGCACUAGCUAUGAAUUCAAGAAUACUUAGAGUUGGAGAGGUCUCAUUCCCAGCUUCUUCUGUGUUCAUCUUUUCUGCAAAGCACAACAGAAACAAAAAUAAAGUGAGUUUAUCUAUAGGCUGUUUGGUGGCCCCUGUAA